UACGGGGGGGGCAAGCGUUGUUCGGAAUUACUGGGCGUAAAGGGUGCGUAGGCGGCUUUCUAAGUUGGAUGUGAAAACUAUGGGCUCAACCCAUAGCCUGCAUCCAAAACUGGAGAGCUUGGGUUCUGGAGGGGAAAGCGGAAUUCCUGGUGUAGCGGUGAAAUGCGUAGAUAUCAGGAGGAACACCGAUGGCGAAGGCAGGUCUCUGGGCAUUAACUGACGCUGAGGAGCGAAAGCAUGGGGAGCGAACAGG
rnacentral:rRNA from 1 species